rnacentral:rRNA from 1 species
GACGAACCGUGCGAACGUUGUUCGGAAUCAUUGGGCGUAAAGGGCGCGUAGGUGGUUCUGUAUGUCUACCGUGAAAGCGUACGGCUCAACCGUAUUUUGUCGGUGGAAACUGCAGGACUUGAGGCUGGGAGGGGCUGGUGGAAUUCCCUGUGUAGCGGUGAAAUGCGUAGAGAUGGGGGAGAACACUCGUGGCGAAGGCGGCCAGCUAGACCAGUUCUGACACUGAGGCGCGACAGCGUGGGGAGCAAACAGG